rnacentral:rRNA from 1 species
UACGGAGGGUGCGAGCGUUGUCCGGAAUCAUUGGGCGUAAAGGGCGCGUAGGUGGCCCGGUCAGUCUUUGGUGAAAGCGCGGGGCUCAACCCUGCGUCGGCCAGGGAUACUGCCGCGGCUCGAGCACUGUAGAGGCAGGCGGAAUUCCGGGUGUAGCGGUGGAAUGCGUAGAGAUCCGGAAGAACACCGGUGGCGAAGGCGGCCUGCUGGGCAGUUUAGCUGACCACUGAGGCGCGACAGCGUGGGGAGCAACAGG